UACGGAGGGUGCGAACGUUAAUCGGAAUCACUGGGCGUAAAGCGCGCGUAGGCGGUUUGCUAAGUGGGAUGUGAAAUCCCCGGGCUUAACCUGGGAAUUGCAUUGGUGACUGUACGGCUAGAGUGUGUCAGAGGGGGGUAGAAUUCCACGUGUAGCAGUGAAAUGCGUAGAGAUGUGGAGGAAUACCGAUGGCGAAGGCAGCCCCCUGGGAUAACACUGACGCUCAUGCACGAAAGCGUGGGGAGCAAACAGG
rnacentral:rRNA from 1 species